UCUUUCAUAGCUCAGUUGGUUAGAGCAUCUUCUUUAGUAAGAGGGAGGUCAUCAGUUCAACUCUUAUUUAAAGCA
rnacentral:tRNA from 1 species